rnacentral:tRNA from 2 species
GGGCGCGUAGCUCAGUAGGAUAGAGCGUUGGCCUCCGGAGCCAGAGGUCGUGGGUUCGACUCCCGCCGCGCCCUCCA